UACGAAGGGGGCUAGCGUUGUUCGGAAUUACUGGGCGUAAAGGGCGCGUAGGCGGUACUUCAAGUCAGGCGUGAAGGCCCCGGGCUCAACCUGGGAACCGCGCUUGAGACUGGAGAACUAGAGUUCGGGAGAGGAUGGUGGAAUUCCCAGUGUAGAGGUGAAAUUCGUAGAUAUUGGGAAGAACACCGAUGGCGAAGGCAGCCAUCUGGACCGACACUGACGCUGAGGCGCGAAAGCCAGGGGAGCAAACGGG
rnacentral:rRNA from 1 species